rnacentral:rRNA from 1 species
UUGUGAGGUUAAGCGACUAAGCGUACACGGUGGAUGCCCUGGCAGUCAGAGGCGAUGAAGGACGUGCUAAUCUGCGAUAAGCGUCGGUGAGGUGAUAUGAACCGUUAUAACCGGCGAUUUCCGAAUGGGGAAACCCAGUGUGUUUCGACACACUAUCAUUAACUGAAUCCAUAGGUUAAUGAGGCGAACCGGGGGAACUGAAACAUCUAAGUACCCCGAGGAAAAGAAAUCAACCGAGAUUCCCCCAGUAGCGGCGAGCGAACGGGGAGGAGCCCAGAGCCUGAAUCAGUGUGUGUGUUAGUGGAAGCGUCUGGAAAGGCGCGCGAUACAGGGUGACAGCCCCGUACACAAAAAUGCACAUAUUGUGAGCUCGAUGAGUAGGGCGGGACACGUGGUAUCCUGUCUGAAUAUGGGGGGACCAUCCUCCAAGGCUAAAUACUCCUGACUGACCGAUAGUGAACCAGUACCGUGAGGGAAAGGCGAAAAGAACCCCGGCGAGGGGAGUGAAAAAGAACCUGAAACCGUGUACGUACAAGCAGUGGGAGCCUCUUAAUGGGGUGACUGCGUACCUUUUGUAUAAUGGGUCAGCGACUUAUAUU